CCUCCCAUACCUGGCACCUGGUAUAAGGUGACCGGAUGUCCUGCUUUUAAGGGAUAGUCCCGAUAUUCAAGGCUUUUUCUCAUAUAAGUGCCUAUUACCCUCCAUCCUCUGUCCUGAUUUUUCACACUUGCUAUCUGGU